UACCUUUUCAUCUUUAGUCGUGUGCAUAAUACAAUUUCUUAUCACUGUAUUUCAUGAAAAUAAUUUUUUUUUUCCAAAGUAAGUACAAAUAUUAUAGAUAUAUUUUGUAUCAGAAAAACUAAUGAUUUACAAGUUCAUAAGUAAAUGUUGUGUUUAUAGCGUGCCGUUUCAUAGAAAAAAAAGAAAAAGAAGCAGGACUCCCUCUUCCAAAUCAAGCAAUGAAUAUAGUAGUUUUAUUGUAUUUAUAACCUUUGAAAAUUUUAAAACUUAAAUUUAUUUCCAAAAAUACUAAUGAUUAUGUACUAGAGAAACGUCCAUUGUCUAUGAAAAUGUUACCUCAGAGAUAAUUUGUAACCAAUUUACAACAAAAUACCAAAAUAGAAAAUAAUGAAACUAUUAAUGCUGUAAACUUUCUAAACGCUAAAAGCUGUAAACGUUUAUGUACUGG